UAGGGAAUCUCCCGCAAUGGGCGAAAGCCUGACGGAGCAACGCCGCGUGAGUGAUGAAGGUCUUCGGAUCGUAAAACUCUGUUAUUAGGGAAGAACAAAUGUGUAAGUAACUAUGCACGUCUUGACGGUACCUAAUCAGAAAGCCACGGCUAACUACGUGCCAGCAGCCGCGGUAAUACGUAGGUGGCAAGCGUUAUCCGGAAUUAUUGGGCGUAAAGCGCGCGUAGGCGGUUUUUUAAGUCUGAUGUGAAAGCCCACGGCUCAACCGUGGAGGGUCAUUGGAAACUGGAGAACGUGAGUGCAGAAGAGGGAAGUGGAAUUCCAUGUGUAGCGGUGAAAUGCGCAGAGAUAUGGAGGAAAACCAGUGGCGAAGGCGACUUUCUGGUCUGUAACUGGCGCGGAUGGGCGAAAGCGUGGGGAUCAAACAGG
rnacentral:rRNA from 1 species